CAGAUUACCUCAUUUCCUCCUCGCGCUGUCUGGGAGAGCUGAGCACUAAGGCAGGAGUUAUCACAGGAAUCACAGAGGAUGGAGUUCAGAGAGACCAUGGAAAUGGACUUCUUUGGGGUAGCGGAUCUACAGCACUGGCGCUGCCGUGCUUGAACAAUCCACCCACGUUAGACCCUGUUGAUCAUCAAGCUUUCUGUCUUGAGGCAUCUCCUCGACUCACUGCUCCAGUUUCAUCAGUGUUGGCAUAUAAGAUCAGACCCACCAAGCCUGCGAACUUGGAAGGAUGACUUCUCAAAGCUGCAGGUAGGAUCAGAACUAGAACUUGGAUUAUCUGCUACCCAAAAUAUCUUUUCACUCUCUCUUUUGAAUGCAUGCUUCCUGAAGAUAAGCACAACUUCCUUUUUCCCUUGGGAUUUUAGUAGUAGUAGUAGUAGUAGUCUUGGUAUUUAUUAGUAUUCAAUCAACAUUAAGUUUGAUUCCUAUUCCGCACCUGUCCACCCAGUCCUGAGUUCAGAACAGACGGCUGUUCUCUGCCCUCUGGAAGUAACUCUGCACCACACCCAGCUCCCCCUCUGCCUUUGUGUCCUUCCUCCUAUGGUUUUAAUUGCUGUAAAUGCCCUUUUUGCUUCUUCUCCAGGAUGCUGUGCUCAAAAUUCACCAGGAUUCCAGCUUCAUCUUUAUGUAGGAUCGUCUUCUCAAACAAACAUCAACGUCUGCUCUCUCUAUCUGAUAUUUUCUAACAUUUUGUUCCACACCAAGAUUUUCAUUUGACUACUUGUGCACCUGCCUGUCGGCCCCACCAGACUGCAAGCACAGAAUCUGGAACACAUGUUUUACUUGCUGAUGAAUUGAAGGUGCCUGGGAUUCCAGAGGCUCCAGAUAAAUUCUAGUCAGAUUAAAUCUAGUUCCUAGGAGGUUCACAAUACAAUUUUAAUAUCAUAUCAUUUAAAGUUGGAAGGGGUCUUAGAGAUUCUGUGAUCCAAGAUGGGAAAUAGGUUUUACUUUAAGGCUAGUCCCAAUCCAAUCAUAGGGACUGCCCGACCAGCAUAGUUAGACAGAGGCAAGAUCCUGCUUUAGCUGGAAAGAGAGCUGCACUUGUUUUGCGAAGUUGGCCAGAAGUGAUAGAGGAGGAGGUAGCAAAGCGUGUGUCUCCUCUGCCAUCGAAGAUUCAGUUCACUCCUUCCCAGUUUAUUUUAAAGCCUGCAUGCUAUGGUGGGUGAGGAGAAUUUGGACUGUCACUCCGAAUUUGAAUGCUCUGCCAAACCUCAUCCUCCAAGAACUUCGAUUUCACGGUGUGUGAGAUGAGCACACCCGUUCUGCCUCUUCCCUCCUCCCCAGCUCCUUGUGGUCCUGAAAGUAUUUUACAAAACCAUGAAGCAGUGUAUCAAUGCAUGGUGAUCCCAUCCCAUAGGGCUCUUCCUCAGCAACCUCAGAAAGAGAGAAUUCAAUCCUAAAAAUAUGAUAUCCUAUGAUGGAAGCCGGCCCCUUCUGGAUCUCCCCAGUCCCAUGCUCUCCCGAGGCUUCCUUCUAUUCCUGCAGUAAACCUCUUCCCAGCUUUCGGCCUUUGCUCCUGCAGCUUAGCAAUGCCCCCUGUGCCCAAAACUUCCACAAACUCAAGGGAAUCCUGAUCUAGCUCUGAAUAAAGAAGUUAAUGAAAACUGAACUCAUCCAGUUUCCAGAGACACAGGCCAGAGGAAAAAAAAAAAAAAAAAAAUAUAUAUAUAUAUAUAUAUAUUUUUUAAAUGAUGAAUAUGAGCCAGUAAUUGAGAUUACUUAUUAGUGUCUGGUCCCACACACCCAGCUCUUCCCUGAGCUGCUCAACCCUUCUUCCCACACUCAUUCCCUACACACUUUCCUUAAAGCUCCAUUAAGCAGGUCACCAUGUCCCCACCUGUUCCCACACCAGCCCUCCUCCACCUCCUCUCUCUCUCUUCUCCAUAGCACUUACCACUGUAUGGAAGUGUUACAGCUAUGUACCUGCUAAAUGUUUACCACUUAUCUUCAUCUUCUAGAACUCAAGCACCACGAGGGAAAACACGCUGUUCCUCCUGUGUGCUGCUGUUUCCCCAUGGCUAGGAGUGAUUACGAAAGGCGCUCGAUACGAACACAUUUGCUAAAUGA
rnacentral:lncRNA from 1 species